AUUGAACGCUGGCGGCAGGCUUAACACAUGCAAGUCGAACGAGUGGCGGACGGGUGAGUAAUGCUUGGGAAUCUAGCUUAUGGAGGGGGAUAACUACGGGCAACUGUAGCUAAUACCGCGUACCAUAGGAUGAGCCCAAGUGGGAUUAGCUAGUUGGUGAGGUAACGGCUCACCAAGGCGACGAGCCGUAGCUGGUCUGAGAGGAUGACCAGACACACUGGGAGUGAGACACGGCCCAGACUCCUACGGGAGGCAGCAGUGGGGAAUCUUGCGCAAGGGGCGAAAGCCUGACGCAGCCAUGCCGCGUGAAUGAUGAAGGUCUUAGGAUUGUAAAAUUCUUUCACAGGGGACGCGGUACCCGGAGAAGAAGCCCCGGCUAACUUCGUGCCAGCAGCCGCGGUAAUAC
rnacentral:rRNA from 1 species